AACCAAAGCCAAAAUCCUUUUUCGCAUUUAAAUUAAUAUUUAGUCAUCAUUUACUCUUCUCCCAUUGUACCGAGUCCAAACACCAAGCACCCAUUUUUUGUUUUCAGGUUCUUUUUCUGAAGCAUCUUCAAAAACCCAUCAUUUUUACUUGAGCUAUAUACGCAUGCCAGUUGGAUGAUCUAUAGAUCUGCAUUUCUCGUUUGCUGAAUUGUCUCAACUGGGCUUUCCUUUCACUUAGCUGGAGCAGUCAGCAGCGUAUUAUUCUUUUUGUCUUCUUCUGGUG